rnacentral:rRNA from 1 species
CUGAUUUAUUGCCUGCUGCCGCGGGAAAACGUAUGUCGGGAGCGGUAUCCGGAAGUAUUUGGCAUAAAGGGCAUCUAGGCGGCUGAGUAAGUCUGAGGUGAAGACUUUCGGCUCAACCGAGAGCCUGCCUUGGAAACUAAUGCAGCUGGAGUACUGGAGAGGUGGACGGAACUACACGAGUAGAGGUGAAAUUCGUAGAUAUGUGUAGGAAUGCCGAUGAUGAAGAUAGUCCACUGGACAGCUACUGACGCUGAAGUGCGAAAGCUAGGGGAGCGAACAGGAUUAGAUACCCCAGUAGUC